GUUUGAGCUGACAAGCGCGAGAGCUGCUGCUACUUCAUCUGAAACAGCAAAUGCAAAAGAAAGGAAGGCUUUGUCGUUCACGCGUAGCCUACUGCCCAACGUAAAGAAAUAAUAGUAGAUCAACAUUUUAAGGCUAAAAAUGUUGAUCUGUCGCAUCCGACUCAUUGCUUUUUUUAAAUGUUUUUUUUUUUUAAAUCCUAGGGCCUACUGGUCGUAUGAAUUUGGGAUCUAUCGUCCCACAACUGUCCCAGAGUCUGUUUGGCAUAGGCUAUUUCUUUCUCGACAAGUUGACCAAUAGAAUAGGUCCAUUUUUCUCCUAUGGGGAAUAGCAGAAACCCCAAACAGCAUAGGCUAGUGAUUUUGCUAUUCGUUACUCGUCUUGUUGGCUGAGGAAAAGUACAUGUGGACAGUUAUUCUGACAUCUUCAAAGUGCACAUCAAAGUGACAAUUAGGGUAAGAAGGAAAACACAUCGUUGCAUCCUGACUUGCAUGUUCUGUUAAUAUAAAUGACCGUAAUCUAAAUGUGAUUUAUGUCAUUCUGAGCACCGUGGGUGGACGCCCUAAUCAGGUUACGCACCCAAUGCAUAUUGGUCCGGUUAAUGUCCGGAGGCGCCACAUUUUCCUAACAGAAACCCUGACACACAUACAUAUAAAUGCACGAUGCCGCCAGUAUGAUUGUGUGUGAUUAAUGAGUAGACAGUGUGAAGCCGUCAGCCACCUCGGUACCAUGGCGACAGACCCACCCAGACGCCUCAACAACGCAACGGCCGACAGAAGACAGCAAGGAGGGAGAGGACCACCACAGAGCAUUACCAAGGAACUGCCAAAACCUUGAAAAGGGAUGGGAGAACUGUGGAUGGGGCAUCGUCAUUAAAGCUAAUGAAACAUGGGACCAACACAUGUUCGGUACAGACGAAUGGUCCACGAGAGCCGCCACUGAAGUAAUAUCUACCGUGACCCUUUACAGACAUAGAACGCAGCUACAGUAAAAUGACAAUACUGACAAUUGAUAACUUUACAGACAAUUUAAAAAAAAGUGCUGCAUCAGAAGAGUCUGUGCCGUUUGACAGUCGAAUUCUGCUCUUGUAUAUAAUGUUCUA